UUGAGUCUCUCAAAUUUCUUUUCUCCAAAGACUUUAACAAUUUAUUUCAUUUGAGGUAUGUUGCUAUCUCAGGUGACUUUAAGGCCCUCCCUCCUACCUUUGGUAAAUUCUGGAAUUUACAAACUCUUAUACUUAAUACAAGUACCUCAGAGCCCACUCUUGACGUAAAAGCAGACAUAUGGAACAUGUUACAGUUGAGGCAUCUGCACACCAGCAUACCUGCAAAAUUGCCGUCCCCUACUAUCACCACAGGUAAACCUUCUUGCCUGCAAACUCUUUCUUUAGUUGCACCAGAAAGUUGCAAGAAAGAUGUACUGGCAAAGGCGUGUCAUCUAAAAAAAUUGAGCAUUCGAGGGCAAAUGGCGGCCUUUCUUGAAUCCAGGGGUGGAAUCAGCAAUCUUGAAGAGCUAAAGUGCCUGGAACAUUUGAAACUGUUGAAUGAUGUUCUUUACAUGAAUAAAACAGUUCAACUUCCUGCAGCAUUCUUCAGACUUGUACGUACAGUAAAGAAGUUAACUUUGGCAAACACAAGGUUUCAAUGGAGUGAGGCGGAAAAAUUAGCGCAACUGGAAUCCCUUGAGGUUCUAAAGUUGAAAGAAAAUGCAUUCAUGGGUGAUACUUGGAAGCCGGAGGUAGGAGGUUUUAGUAAACUCCGAGUAUUGUGGAUCGAGAGAGCAGAAUUAGAAACUUGGGAGGUGUCGAAUCUUAACUACCCCAUCCUUAGGAACCUUAUCCUUGUCUCUUGUGAUAAGCUCAACGCUGUACCAGUUGAGCUGGCUGGUAUACCUAAUUUUCGCGAGAUGAAGUUGGAGAACACAAUCAAAGCAGUCAAAUCUGCAAAAGAUAUACUGGAACUUAAGAAAUCUCAAGAAAUAAUAUUCAAGCUCAGCAUAUUCCCUCCUGAAUCUGAAUCCAAGGCCACACAGUAAAGUUGAAAGGUUAGUCAAAUUCAUUUGUAUUAUAGUAUGGCUAUAUGAUCUUUUGUUUCCAUUUGGCAUACAUUUUCCAUGACUCCAUCUAUCUCUAUACAUAUCUCAUUUAGUAGCCGUAAAACUAUAUCUUUUGUAAUAAUUUCAUUCUUCUAUUAUACAUAACAAUUUGUAGAACACUAAUUCCUUUCCUUAAAUUUUGAAUGCACUCUGCUCUUCUUUUUAUCUGCAACACUUAUCCUCUCUUUGUUUCCCUGUUGUUCUUGAACCAAUUUUCCUCCAUUCUGCAGUAGAGCAUCGGGAUUUCGAUCUGGGGUCAUGUGUAUGAUGUCGCGGCAUUUCAUGUUUUCUGUCGUCCAGUCAUCUGAUAAAAUUGUUCCAAUAAAGAAAACAUGUUUGCCUUUUGUGAUUUGUAAUAUGUUAAAUAAAUGGAGUACGUACUCCCUGGAGUUGUUGUUUUUUUCGAGUUUCUGAUCAGUUGGAGUGUUUCUUUUUUCAAUCGUAAGCAUGUUUGCUUCUUUCACUAUUCUGUUGUAUUUGAUUUGUUUCAGUGUAAAACAUACAGUUGCUUUGCCCCCAAGGCCUAGCUCAAGUGGCAAAAGGUGGAGGAUUUGUCGCUUAGGUUGCAGGUUCAAGCCCCACACCAUGCAAAGCGAAGCCCGGUAUUUAAGUGGAGAAGGGUAGAGGGGCGGGCCCAUUAUCCACCGAGUUUAGAAGGCUGUGAUUGGUCCAAAGGGCGGGUCACAGACGGAUUUCUCAGUUAUCAAAAAAAAAAAACAUACAGUUUCUUUUAUCUUUCAAUAAAAUGUUGUGUGUUUUGUUUACAACUUGGAAUCUUUCAGAUGAAUUCUAGUUAUUUCUGAAUUGGAAGGUUACAAGUUCAAAAUGCAAAUGUGCUUUAUGAUCUUUCCGUAAGAUUAGUUCAGACAAGAAAUAUUCAAAUUAUCCUCUAAUAUUCCACUUAGUGAAACUUGCUCUACUUCUAUCAGUUGCCACUGCAUUCAUUGAAAGAGCUUUUUCGACAAUAAAGUUUAUCAAGAAUGACUUGCGGAGUCAAAUUAGUGAUGAAUUUUCUAGUGGUUGGUUGAUGCCUCAUUUAGAAAACAACGUGUUUGAUAGAAUUAGUAAUAAGACAUUUAAAGUUAUGAAACCUCAUAGAAUACAAUUUUAUAAUACACGUAGGACACCACAUAGGAUACACAAUUGUCAUGUAGGACGUCACUUAGGACAAAUGUGUCUAUUUGUUCAAUUUUAUACAAGUUUAAGUGUCUACUUGUGCAUACCCAAAGUUAAAAGGCACGUUUAUGUAUUAUGAUAUUGAUUGUUUUCUCCAAGAUUUUUCACUUUGUCACAAAUCCCUUUGGUUUCAGCUGCAAGAGCCUUAAUUGUAGUGAUAUGACACACAUCAAAUAAUCUAAUUCCAACUUUAUUGUUAUCCCGUUGCAGCUUUGCCUGUACCAGAAACUUAUCAAUCAAAUAUUUAGCUUCAUCAUACAUAUCUUUUAUCGCCCUUUAUAUAAGCCAUUGGUCACCUCUAGCCUCCAGGCAUCUCAGAGAACUUCCCGUGGGACUUUGUCAUAGGUCUUUUCAUGGUUAAUGAACUCCAUAUGUAAGUCUCUCUUCUAAUUUCUUGGUAUUUCUCCACAAGUCUCCUCACAAGAUGAAUCAUGACUUUUGUAGUCGAUCACCCAGUCAUAAAUUCAAAUUGAUUCUAGUAAAUGGACACACCCCUCUCUCAACUCCAUCACUUUCUCCCAAACUUUCAUGACAUGGCUUAGCAACUUGGUAACCCUGUAAUUGUUACAAUUUUGGAUGUCAUGACUCCGGUAACUCUUCCCCUGCUCAUCCUGAUAAUAGUGCGUUUAACCUCAUCAACCUUAAUAUACCUACAUUAUUCAUAAUCCCAAUGUCACUCAGAGUGUUCCAAAUCACCCAGCAUAAUAUUUUUGUCUCCUUCUUUGUUCAAAAAUUUAUUGAAGUAAGCUUGUCAUUUUUAUUUAAUGAGAGUCUCUUCCGUUAACACCUUGACUUCCUUAUUUUUUAUCUAAGUCCUGAACUUUCCUCUUUCUCUCAUUUGCAGUUUUUUCUCUGCGUCUUUGUCCCUUAGCUAAGUAUACAAUCAUUCAAAGACGAGCGUCUUUGCUAUUGCAAUCGCUCUAACUUAAUCUUUGUCUUCGCCGCUUUAUAAAUUUCCUUAUGGGAUUUUGAGAAUAUACCCACUAAAAAUAUCUCAUGGUCCUGAUAAGGGGUGUACAAAACCGAACCGAAAACCGAAUCAAACCGCAAACCGAGUCAACUCAAAAAAAAAAACCUGACUAGUGGUUUGGUUUGACUUGGUUUGGUAUUGGAAAAAAAACCCGACUAUAUUUGGGUUGGUUUGGUUUUAACUAAAAAAACCAACCCGAGACCAAACCAACCCGACAUUAUAUAUGUAAUUUUAAAAUUUUAUUUAUACAUAAAAAUAUUUACUUUGAUAUAAUUUUAAAAUAUCUCUUAUACUAUUUCAUAGUUUUUAUCUUUUAAUAUAUUAUUUCAAGUUUAAAACUUAGAAUUCAGAAUGGUCCAAUAAAUAUUAUAGUUCAUAAAUGUUGAUAAUUACUGUAUAAUAAAACUUAAAUCAAAAUCAAAUUAAUACUAAUGCAAAAAGAAAAUCAUUUCAACACUAAGAAUGACAAUAAUAUUGAAUAUUUGUUCUUUAGUUUUACAUUGGUUUAGACAAUUAAAAUACAUAAUCUAAUUUUAAUUUUCCUUAAAUAUUUAGUAAUGUAACUAAUACUUAUUAAACUUAUUUUAGCAUGAUUUAGUACUUUUAAAUUAUGAUCAUUUUCAUUAUGACUUUACAAUAUUUAUUUUAUAUGAUGAUUUCAUUAUUAUUUUUUAUUGAAUAUUUUUGUGUCAUCAGUACUAAUCUCAUAUUUUGUGUUAUUUUUUUAAGUAAACACCUUAGAUAAUUGUAUUUUGGUUGGAUUAAAGAAAUAUUUGGAGCACAAGUUAAUUCUAUGCAAACAUUACCGAAAAAAUCCGAGGUUUAUUAGUUUGGUUUGAUUUAUAAAUUUAAAAAUUCGACACAAUGGUUUGGUUUGGUAUUUGAAAAAUCCGAACCAACCCGAGGUUGAAAAACCCGAAAAAUCCUAAUUUUAUUAGUUUGGUUUGGUUUAUAAAUUUAAAAUUUUUACACAAAUGGUUUGGUUUGAUAUUUGAAAAACCCGAACCAACCCGGUUAUGUACACUCCUAGUCCUGAUAAUGAACAAGCGUCCUAAGUAAGUUUGUCAAAAAUGAACCCAAACAUAGAUAACCCGCCUAGAAUUUUAAGGGUUGGGCUCAAGAUAAUUUGAAUUGGGUUCAAUCUCAUCCCAUUCAAGCCUAACCCAUUUUAUGAGAAUCCUCAAUUGAGCCCAAUUCAAUCUUUAAUUUCAACUCGUUUUAAAACUCUUUACUAAGAUAUGUUCCUAUAUUAAAGGUAUGAAUUAUUAUCUAUUUAAUAUCUUUUAGGAUUUAUCUAUCCAUUUGUUACUUUUUUUAAAAACAAAUCUUGAGCUAAAAUUCGAAUUGUGAUUAUAAAAGUUAAAUAUCACUAUGUUAAAAUUAUUGAGAUUAAUCGGGUCAAAUUGGGCGGGUCAAGACCCAACCCGAUUUCUAUUUCAACCCAUUUUAAUAUCUCCAAUUUCAACUCAACCUGCCCAUUUGACAUCCCUAGUCCUAAGUCAUCGGAUUGAUGAUGGAAUAGAAGAGAGAUUGAGUUUUUUUUUAUUCAUUUGGAUCGGAUUUGGAGAGGUAAAAAAUAGUGAGGUAAUUAUUUAAAAUCACGAGAUGCUUUAGAAUUUUAAAAACAUUUUAGGAUGACUUGGGCACAAGUUAUAGUAAUAAAUUGCAAAUAAUAAUGCCAUUUAUAAUUAAUAUAUAUAACAAUCAAGACUUGGAUAAAUUAUUAAGCCAAUGUCAUUUUUUAAUCAAGACUAAUUAUUGUAAAUUAGAUAUAAGAAAGACUUGAUUUAACAAUGUCUACUUAGUUAACCUCCUCCUCUUCAUUGCUAAAAAUAUCCUCUUCCUCUCGCAAAAUUUAGAAAGAGAUCGAUUGAUGAAUCGAUUCUAUGGCAGAUGCAGCGGUGAACUUUUUCGUGGAGAACUUGUUGCAGCUGUUAAGUGAAAAUGUGGUGUUAAUUGAAGGCGUAGAGGAUGAAUUCAAAAAUUUGUUGGAUCAAGUGCAACGCCUGAAAGCAUUCGUUGACGAUGCUGCUAAAUUCCAGAGCGAUAGCAGUUUAUGGGAUGAAUUGGUGAAGGAUAUUCAAAAAAUGAUACACAAACAAAAAAUACUCCCUUUGUCCCAUUUUAUGUGAGUUAGUUUGAUUCGAUACGGAGUUUAAGAAAGAAAUGAAGACUUUUAAAACUUGUGAUCUAAAAUAAAUGAUAGAAAUAUGUGUAGUUAUAAAUUAUUUCAUUAAGGAUAAAAUGAACAUUUUAAAACUAAAUUAUUACUUAAUAUAGAAAGUAAGUCAUACUGAUCGAGGGAGUAACAAAUAAAAAUAAAUAUAAAAUGCUUCAUGAAUUGUCUUUUUAGUUUAUGUUUUAGCUCUCACACACUACAAAGAGUUAAGAAAUCCUUUUGCAGUCAUGUUUGCAAAGAGUUAUAUUUAUGCUCAUGGUGGCAUUGCAUGAACUUUAGAAUUUUUAUAGUUAUAAUUGCAAAAAUUAUCCGCACUGUUUUUUAAUGCAUUCUGUUUGAUUAUUAUGUUAAAAAGCGUCCUCCCUUGGAGAAUGAUGAAGUGGUCGGGUUUGAUGUGGAAGCUAACAAUAUGAUCAAGCGACUUGUUGAAGGACCGGAAGAAUCACUGGAUAUUAUCCCAGUGGUGGGUAUGCCCGGACUUGGAAAAACUAUACUGGCAAGAAAAAUCUAUAAUGAUCCUAAGCUUUCAUAUGAAUUUCCCAGCAUCCUUUGGGUUAAUGUCGGUAGGGAAUACAAAAUAAAGGAUAUUUAUCUUAGGAUUCUCAAAUUCUUCACAAAACGCAUAGAAGAUAAUCUCAAUGAUGAUGAGGACACAUUAGCUAAGGUGAUAAGUGGUUUAAUGAGUAAUCGAGGUAGAUGUCUCAUUAUUUUGGAUGAUGUGUGGGAAGCAGAAGUCAUUGAUUACGUAAUGAAAGUUUUCCCAGAAAACAAAAAGGGGCAUCGAAUCGUAAUGACCACACGUAAAGGAUAUGUAACUUCUUAUCUCAAUCCAGAAGCUCAUCAUCUGAAAUUCUUGAGUAUGAAAGAAAGUUUUGAAUUGUUGGUAAGGAGAGUUUUUUUCAAGGGAAGUUGCCCUGAUGAAUUAAAUGAAGUUGGAUAUAGAAUUGCAGAAAACUGUUGUGGAGUACCACUUGUUAUAGAGGGAGGUAAUUGCAGGAGCAUUAGCAGGUCGUUCGAAUAGAACUGAAUGGGAAGUAGUUCAUAGAAAUGUGGCACAUGCUUAUAGCGUGAAUAACAAUUGUGCAUUUGUAGAGGUGAGUUACGAUCAUUUACCUCAAGAAGUGCAGAUGUGCUUUUUAUAUUGUGGUAUCUUUCCUCGGGACUUUGAUAUCCCUGCUUGGAAAUUGAUUCGCAUGUGGAUUGCGGAAGGGUUAAUAAAGCCCCAGCAGUCAUACACUAUUGAGGAGAUCGCAGAGCAUCAUUUGAACGAUCUUGUUAAUAGGAAUUUAGUGAUAUUGUUGCAAAAGAAGUCUGAUGGUAAAAUAAAGACAUGUCGUCUUCACGGCAUGUUACACGAGUUUUGCAGAACAAAGGCUGCUAACAAAUGGCUUUUUCAAGAAAUAUGUACAGCAGCUGAUAACUCUCUUCCUUCUAUACAGGACUCAGAUACUUGCCGUCGAUUAUGUAUUCAACCAUCUACUCUGUGUGACUUUCUCUCCACAAAACCUUCUGCAGAACAUGUCAGGUCUUUCUACUGUUUUUCCUCAAAACAAAAAACAAACUGAAUUGUCUCGUAAUGAAAUCAAACUCCUUCACAAAGCAUUUCCACUUAUAAGGGUCUUGGAUGUUGAAUCUCUCAAAUUUAUUUUCUCCAAAGACUUUAACCAAUUAUUUCAUUUGAGGUAUAUUGCUAUCUCGGGUGACAAUAAAGCCCUUCCUCCGCCCUUUGGUAAUUUCUGGAAUUUACAAACUCUUAUACUUAAUACAAGUACCUCAGAGCCCACUCUUGACGUAAAGGCAGACAUAUGGAACAUGUUACAGUUGAGGCAUCUCCACACCAACAUACCUGCAAAAUUGCCAUCCCCGACUAUCACGACAGGUAAACCUUCUUGUCUACAAACUCUUUCUAUGGUUGCACCAGAAAGCUGCAAGAAAGAUGUGCU
rnacentral:lncRNA from 1 species